rnacentral:misc_RNA from 1 species
CUGCACAUCCGAGGCUGAGAAACAAAAAGGAUAACCCCAAUCGCCUGCUUAAAGUAGUAUUUUGAGAAAGGUAAAAAAUGGUUCCAAAGGAGAGCAUUACAUGGCAUGGUUCUGUCGAAAGGGUCCGGAGAUGAAGAUGUUGAGGCAUAUAUUUUUAUUUGAUUUACAGUGGAACCCCAUUAUUUACAAAGCAGCAGAGUUAGCAGAGAAAAUG